CGCACAUUGCGCCUAUUGGUAUUCCAAUAGGCAUGCCUGUUCGAGCGUCAUUUAAACCUUCAAGCAUAGCUUGGUGUUGGGUGCCUUGUUCGCCUCUUUUUUUUGGGGGGCGAACUCACCUUGAAGACAUUGGCAACCGAUAAUUAGGUGUUGGAGCGCAGCACAUUUUGCGACUCUCGGCCCAUGAAUUCGUCGGUGUCCACAAAGCUUUUUAUUCUAAUGUUUGACCUCGGAUCAGGUAGGGAUACCCGCUGAACUUAA
rnacentral:misc_RNA from 1 species